UUCCAGACUCCUACGGGAGGCAGCAGUGGGGAAUAUUGCGCAAUGGGGGCUACCCUGACGCAGCAACGCCGCGUGAUUGAAGAAGGCCUUCGGGUUGUAAAGAUCUUUAAUCAGGGACGAAAAAUGACGGUACCUGAAGAAUAAGCUCCGGCUAACUACGUGCCAGCAGCCGCGGUAAUACGUAGGUGGCAAGCGUUGUUCGGAAUAACUGGGCGUAAAGGAUGCGUAGGCGGUUAAACAAGUUAUAUGUUAAAUAUAUAGGCUUAACCUGUAGAAAGCAUAUAAAACUGUUUAACUAGAGUGCAGGAGAGGUAAGUGGAAUUCCUAGUGUAGCGGUGAAAUGCGUAGAGAUUAGGAAGAACACCAGUGGCGAAGGCGACUUACUGGACUGUAACUGACGCUGAGGCAUGAGAGCAUGGGGAGCAAACAGGAUUAGAUACCCGCGUA
rnacentral:rRNA from 1 species